CGAUCUAAAAAAAGGAUGAAAAAGAAGAAUUCAUGAAGUUUAUAGGUAUUCCUAUGAUUUUUUUCCUAUAUAUAUCAUUGGGAGGUUGGUGGUACUGAUUUUGUCGUGUUUGUACCAUUUGUAGUUUGGAGGUACUGAUUUUGUCACGUUUGAACCAUUUGUAUUUUGUAAAUAUUGAUUUUUGUCUCAAAAUCCUGAGUUGUUACAGAUUAGUACUUGCGANN
rnacentral:lncRNA from 1 species